rnacentral:snRNA from 1 species
GUGCUUGCUUCAGCAGCACACACACUAAAAUUGGAAUGAUAUAGAGAAGAUUAGCAUGGCCCCUGCACAGAGAUGAAACGCAAAUUCAUGAAGCAUUCCUUAUUAUU